rnacentral:rRNA from 1 species
UACGUAGGGGGCGAGCGUUGUCCGGAUUUAUUGGGCGUAAAGAGCUCGUAGGCGGUUCGGUAAGUCGAAUGUGAAAUCUCCACGCUCAACGUGGAGGGGUCAUUCGAAACUGCCGUGACUUGAGUACGGUAGGGGAGUGUGGAAUUCCCGGUGUAGCGGUGAAAUGCGCAGAGAUCGGGAGGAACACCUGUAGCGAAGGCGGCACUCUGGGCCGAUACUGACGCUGAGGAGCGAAAGCGUGGGGAGCAAACAGG